rnacentral:rRNA from 1 species
CCCUAAGUAACGGGCGAGUGGAAGAGGGAAAAGCUCAAAUUUUAAAUCUACCUGGGUUCUUCUAGGUCGAAUUGUAAUUUGAAGAAACGAUAUCUUAUUUUGAGGUCUGGUUUAAGUCUUUUGGAACAAGACAUCAUGGAGGGUGAGAAUCCCGUGCAUGAUCAGACCGAAAUUUAUUAAUAUUCGUUUUUAAGAGUCGAGUUGUUUGGGAAUGCAGCUCAAAAUGGGUGGUAGACUUCACCUAAGGCUAAAUAUCAGCGAGAGACCGAUAGCGAACAAGUACUGUGAAGGAAAGAUGAAAAGAACUUUGAAAAGAGAGUUAAAAAGUACGUGAAAUUGUUGAAAGGGAAACGAUUGAAGUCAGUCAUGCCAGUGAAAAAUCAGUUUAACGGAUUUUUGGUUCGGAGYAGGAGGCAGGGUCAAACCGUCUCUCUUUUGGACUUGGAAUUUGUUARAUGUACUUUUUCUUUGGCAGGUCAGUGUCGAUUUCGGAGGUUGUAAAAUAACUGGGGGAAAGUAGCUCUGCUUCGGGAGAGUGUUAUAGACUCUGGGGGAUGCAGCCUGCGGGAUCGAGGAUUGCAGCAAAUGCUAUUUGGCUUGUCGCCUGAUCUCUGGACGUUACCUCAUUUGUGACAAUAUUUUUGACACCGGUGGGUACUAAUGGCCAAUAGGUUAGAGCGAUCAAAAAUUUGCUAAGGAUGCGA